AUUGAACGCUGGCGGCAGGCCUAACACAUGCAAGUCGAACGAGUGGCGGACGGGUGAGUAAUGUCUGGGAAACUGCCCGAUGGAGGGGAUAACUACUGGAAACGGUAGCUAAUACCGCAUACCAUCGGAUGUGCCCAGAUGGGAUUAGCUUGUAGGUGAGGUAACGGCUCACCUAGGCGACGAUCCCUAGCUGGUCUGAGAGGAUGAACAGACACACGGGAAAUGAUGCACGGUCCUGACCGCCACGGGAGUAAGCAGUGGGGAAUAUGGCACAAUGGGCGCAAGCCUGAUGCAGCCAUGCCGCGUGUAUGAAGAAGGCCUUCGGGUUGUAAAGCACUUUCAGCGGGGAGGCGUUACCCGCAGAAGAAGCACCGGCUAACUCCGUGCCAGCAGCCGCGGUAAUAC
rnacentral:rRNA from 1 species